rnacentral:tRNA from 1 species
AGAUAGAUAUUAGGUUAUAUUGGGAUGAAUGUUGGUUUUGAAAACCAAUAAUAAGUGUUCGAUUCACUUGUAAUCUU